CCUACGGGGGGCAGCAGUGGGGAAUAUUGCACAAUGGGCGCAAGCCUGAUGCAGCCAUGCCGCGUGUGUGAAGAAGGCCUUCGGGUUGUAAAGCACUUUCAGCGGGGAGGAAGGCGUUAAGGUUAAUAACCUUGGCGAUUGACGUUACCCGCAGAAGAAGCACCGGCUAACUCCGUGCCAGCAGCCGCGGUAAUACGGAGGGUGCAAGCGUUAAUCGGAAUUACUGGGCGUAAAGCGCACGCAGGCGGUCUGUCGAGUCGGAUGUGAAAUCCCCGGGCUCAACCUGGGAACUGCAUUCGAAACUGGCAGGCUAGAGUCUUGUAGAGGGGGGUAGAAUUCCAGGUGUAGCGGUGAAAUACGUAGAGAGCUGGAGGAAUACCGGUGGCGAAGGCGGCCCCCUGGACAAAGACUGACGCUCAGGUGCGAAAGCGUGGGGAGCAAACAGGAUUAGAUACCCGAGUAGUC
rnacentral:rRNA from 1 species